rnacentral:lncRNA from 1 species
AUAAAAACUACACAAAAGCUAAUUGAUAAUUAAUUUAAAAAGCAAUGUUAUACAUUAUCUUGUGUUUAGAAAUUUGUCAACUUGGCAGUUUUGUUCAUUGACCACAUGGCCAUUGUUCUUCAUAGGACUGAGUCCAUAUGAGAAGAUUUCUGCUGGUCUUUCCAACCAGAAGUCUGUACAGAUCCCUUUCAGAAUCCUUACACAGUGAAAAGUCACAGUGAGGACUGCCAAUAAGAAAAAAAAGCAAAUCAAAACUCCUCAUACUGUGUACUUCGUGUGUUUUGAAGGAUCAUUUGCCCAGAUUUUAGUGGAUUUUCAUUCCAGUAGUUUUGUCAAACUCUGUGGUCAACUUUAUUUCUUUGUGGCCUGUCGUAAAGCAAAUUUUCUUUUGGUACAACAUAAGCUUUAAUGCCCAUGUUUAGGAUUGGAAACAGAUUCACUUGACCAGGAAAAAAAAAUGAAAAUAAAUCAAACAGGAACAAACAGCAUUUAGAGGAAAAAUGAAAUAAAGCAAUUGAAAUCAAGUCUGUAAGAAUUACACACACCUAACAAGGAAAAGUGUAUUGUGACCCCAACUUCCCACCCAGCUCAGGUUCCCCCCCCACCCCCCACCCCCCUGUGGUUCUCCAGCCCAGGAACCAUGCAGUGUAGAAAAAGCAAAUAUACAAACAAUCCUAUAUGUAGCUAGGGUGAAAUCUAUUUUUAUAAGAACUCGACACUUGGACUAUUUACAUCCAGGAGAAGUUUUGUUUCGUUUCGACGCAAAGAAAGUUCUGUAGUGUUCUCCUGGUUUUGCUGCAGGUGCAUCCUCUGCCCUCUUUAAGCAGUUCUUUUUUCCUUUCCUGUGUGUCCUGGCUGAACAGAAAGGACGAGCCGGCUUGCUUGCUCGAUUUUGGACACCCAUUCUCCUUUAAGAUGAAGCCUUCCCUCCCCGCCCCCAGCCCCGCCGAGGUCCCUCCCGAGGAGUUGGCCUUGGCGUUAGUUUGUUAUUCUCUCAAGGUAAACGGCCGGCGCCGCCGACCGGGCGAUGGUGGCGAUGAAGCUGUGGUCGCGCCCGAGCUCCAGGCUGGGGGUUUCGUCCUGCUCCGGAGACACUGCUUCGUAGCCCUUGUUGACGCGGAGCGGCUGGUGAGCCUGGCAGUAGCCGAUCACAGGCUGGUCGUAGCUGUAAUAGGGCAAGGGCUUCACGUGGUGGGGGAUCUGGGUGGGAGGAAGAGAAAGUCCGAUUAAGAAAGUGCUCUGGAAAGAUAAGAAGAGGGCAUUCAUGGCAUUGUACUUUGUUCUCUUUCUUGCCCUUUUAAGGCAUCAGCUGCUGAUUCUGCUAUUAAUAAACGUUAAACAGAGUAAGGAUUGGUAGGAUUUAACUUGAUAUUGUUUUGUCCAGAUACAUAAGCCUUACAUAUGAUUUUAUGUACAGUGUGUGUAUGUGUGUAUAUAUAAUUUGUAUAUAACCUUUUAUGUAGUUGUGUGUAUAUAUACUUUAUGUAAAAGUGUGUACUUUUUACGUAUACUUUUAUAUAAAGUGUGUAUAUAUACACAUACAUAUGCAUAUACAUACAUAUGUAUAUAUAUACAAUAUAUAUAAAAUCAUAAAGAUGUUUUCAUGUUCAGUCCUAUUAUCUUUCUAUGUAUGGUCAUACAGACAGUUAAAAACAACCUAAAUUCCCAUCAACAGGGAAUUUUAAAAUAUGUUAGGUAAGUUCACACACUUGAGUACAGGUAUACAAAGACUGGGGUGUCUGUCUAUUGUAAUAUGGCAAGAUAUGCUAUUAAGAGAAAACAAUGGGGGCGCCUGGGUGGCGCAGUCGGUUAAGCGUCCGACUUCAGCCAGGUCACGAUCUCGCGGUCCGGGAGUUCGAGCCCCGCGUCAGGCUCUGGGCUGAUGGCUCGGAGCCUGGAGCCUGUUUCUGAUUCUGUGUCUCCCUCUCACUCUGCCCCUCCCCCGUUCAUGCUCUGUCUCUCUCUGUCCCAAAAAUAAAUAAACAUUGAAAAAAAAUAAAUAAAUAAAGAGAAAACAAUGUGAAAAGAAUGUACAGUAUGUUCCAUUUUGUAUAAAUACAAAUAUAAACAUACAUAGAGUUUUUACUUUUAAAAUAUACUUAUAUACAAUUAAAAUCUUUAUUGUGGGCAUAUAUGUUUUAUUUAAACUUUUAAAAAAAUAAUCACAAUUUCCUAUAGAUUAUUUCUAACAAUUCUAUAAAUCCUGGACCAAGGAACUGAAGAAUCAUGAAAGUGGGCACAUCUUUGUGUUCAUAAUAUGUAAUAUUAUUGAUUUCAAGCUAACAAGCCAAAUAUGUGUCUAAUGUUGGAAUAAAAUGCCUGAAUAGCUGUCUAUAGAAAUCCCUUUUCAUAGGAAAAGCUAAAAAUAUUAAAAUGCUAGUAAUUUCAAGUCUGUGCAGCUUUUUAUUAAACCACAAAUUUCUGGUAAAGAAAAAUAGAGAAAGGAAUGUGAGGGUUGCUUAAUUCUUGAUAUCACACUAAGCAUUUCUUUUUUUUUUUUUUUAAUUUUUUUUUCAACGUUUAUUUAUUUUUGGGACAGAGAGAGACAGAGCAUGAACGGGGGAGGGGCAGAGAGAGAGGGAGACACAGAAUCGGAAGCAGGCUCCAGGCUCUGAGCCAUCAGCCCAGAGCCCGACGCGGGGCUCGAACUCACGGACCGCGAGAUCGUGACCUGGCUGAAGUCGACGCCUAACCGACUGCGCCACCCAGGCGCCCCCACACUAAGCAUUUCUCAUGACCCACUAGAUCCAGUCUGAUACUCUUGGUUAACAAGUCCACAGGUGAGAGAAUUGCAAACACUCCACUGUCCUCUCAGGCAAGAGAUGCGGCAGUUUCAAGUAUCGUCUCCCAGCUCCAACUCACUUGCCGGAGUUGGCUUUAUGAUGCCAGGCUGGGUCUCUGCAAACUACACUGCUGCUUGGCCUGCUGCUCCCUGUUAGACUUUAACAGUGGGCCCACUGGAGAGAGAUGGCAAGACUAGAGGAGCUGGAGGAAACUGACCCCAUGGUGGGCUUCCUCUCUGCUUCUCCCUGCUCCAGGGAGCUACCUCACCAACACUCCUUCAUAUUGGUUGUAGCAGCACCUUCCCACAAUAGCAGGCCAUUCUGGUUUGUAGUCUUCCCAGCAUUUGAUCCCAUCAUGUCCCCCUCAGAAUCUCCAGCACCAAGGAAAUCUGAGAUGCAUCUCUGCAAAGCUCUUUCUCCAAGCUUGUAAUUUUACAGUUCCAACAUCUUCGUUUAGCCCCUUGGUCCCACAGGUGGUAGGGCUGGCAGUUACUUCUAAAGCCGCUGCCUCUGUUACACUAUGGCACUUUUAACCUUUGCACGAGCUGAGUUAAUAACUCUGUAUUUAGUUAGCAAUUCAUGCAAAUGCUUUGUCAAGAUAACUGAUAUGUUGUCUGUCUCCCGAUUAGACUAUAGACUAGGCUGUAUCUGAGUCUUUCUGUAGGUUAAACUACAGAAAUUAAGGUGUUAUAAUUUGGUAGAGAAGUUAACCCCCAAAGGCCUUAUGGGUUAAUUGUUCUGAAGGAAGUUAACCAGUGUUCUAUCUAACUUGGCAGCCUUAUUUUCACAAUCCAUUCUUCCUAUUAUUAUAUAAAUCCCUCAAAUGAUCAUGCAACUAGGUCUUGUGUUUUCUUCCUAGGAUCCUCAUUAAUGUGUUAAGCAAAAUUUUGACAUAAAUUAUGUUUGUAUGAGAAUUCUGUUUUGAACACCUCUAUGCUUAUUAAGAUGAAAGUCACUUUCUCACAUUUUUAAAGAUAUAGAUUAAAGUAAUGUUUUCUAUGGCAGAUCACAACUCAUUACUAAGUUAUAAAAUUAAAUUAAUGAAUCCAGAUAAACAUUUUAAAAAUUGAAAUAACUGGAACAGAAAAUAUUAGAUUAUAUCAUGAAUAAGGGUAAAUUGCUUCAUAGAAGUUUUGUUUCAAAUUUGUGUGUUCAUGAAUGUGUGUUUACUGAGUCACACUGUGAUUAUUUGUUAAACUGGGAAUCACAAUAAAAGAUGCUUCUAAAAAUACUCAAAACACAUAGUCAGGUUGUACUUUAUUUUAAUGUGAUCACAAUACCUAGAUAAAUUCCCUUGCUUCUUUUACUAUUCUCUUUUUUCUAACUCACAUAAUUCAGUUUUUCUGAGCGAGUGAGAAAAUUAAGCCAAUAUAUAUUUCUUUAUUUUUGGAUGAGACACGUUGACUUCUAAAUGGAAGGUCAACACUAUUUUCAUUAAGUCUUAAGAAAUAGUAAAGGAAAGAUACUUUCUCAUCAAACAAGAUGUUGAUAUAACCUGGAAUAUACAAUGCUGUUCUCAAAAAAAUCUGAACAAGAAUACAUACUAGGUCAAAAUUUUUAUUGACACAGAAAUGUUUUAGACCUUAGACAUUAAUUUCUGGGCUGAGAGUGAGAACAAGGAACAAAUUAUAGGACAACAUGGCUGAAUUACUAGAUGAAAAAUGUAUUUAUAAUAUAAAGUUAGGUUUGCUCUCAAUCUAUGGUGGGUUUUUUUUUUUCUUACUCAUAUAGACUUCUCCUUAUAAAUCAGUACAGGUCCAGACAUGAAAUGUUUGUCAGCAAGUUCUAUUUUAGGUCACCUCAUAGGAUUUUGCUGUGUGUCAGAUAGGUAGAGAUAUCUGUGAUUAGUGUCAUGGGUCACCAAAACUCUGAAAAAGCAUAGAAAUGAAACCACUUCAUUGUGACAUUUCAGCAAAAAGAAUUUUAUGAAGACCUUCUUAAGAGUUACAUAGUUCAUUCUUACUUUUUCAUCGUUAACAGGUGGAAUAGUAUAACUCUAAAAAAAUUCACCAAAUGAUUUCCAAUGACAGCAACAUUCACUGGUCAUAGAAUAUGUGUUGCACACUUUCACUGAAAUGAAUGACUCAUUGUCAACAAAAUAGCCAAAUUACUAAAAGGCAUCAAAAUAAACAUUAAGCAUGCGUUCUGGUUUUGUCCACUAUCUCGUAGUACCAUGGAUAGUUCUCCUCCAGUCACCCACGAGAAGAUGCCUGAACUACAAACAUA